UUUAAUUAUCAUAUAUAAAAGUGAAAUACAAAAUAUAAAUUAAUUUUAGUUGGGGCAACUGGGAGGGAUAAAAAUCUUUUAUUAAAUCAUUUAUAAUAAUAUUUAUAUUUAUGAUCCAAAUUAGUUAAUUUUGAACUUAGAAU
rnacentral:rRNA from 1 species